rnacentral:rRNA from 1 species
GGGUGAGUAACGCGUAUCCAACCUUCCGUACACUCAGGGAUGGCCUUUCGAAAGAAAGAUUAAUACCUGAUGGUAUGAUGAGAUUGCAUGAUAGCAUCAUUAAAGAUUUAUCGGUGUACGAUGGGGAUGCGUUCCAUUAGGUAGUAGGCGGGGUAACGGCCCACCUAGCCAACGAUGGAUAGGGGUUCUGAGAGGAAGGUCCCCCACAUUGGAACUGAGACACGGUCCAAACUCCUACGGGAGGCAGCAGUGAGGAAUAUUGGUCAAUGGACGAGAGUCUGAACCAGCCAAGUAGCGUGAAGGAUGAAGGUCCUACGGAUUGUAAACUUCUUUUAUAAGGGAAUAAACCCUCCCACGUGUGGGAGCUUGUAUGUACCUCAUGAAUAAGCAUCGGCUAACUCCGUGCCAGCAGCCGCGGUAAUACGGAGGAUGCGAGCGUUAUCCGGAUUUAUUGGGUUUAAAGGGAGCGCAGACGGGUCGUUAAGUCAGCUGUGAAAGUUUGGGGCUCAACCUUAAAAUUGCAGUUGAUACUGGCGUCCUUGAGUGCGGUUGAGGUGUGCGGAAUUCGUGGUGUAGCGGUGAAAUGCUUAGAUAUCACGAAGAACUCCGAUUGCGAAGGCAGCA